rnacentral:rRNA from 1 species
AGAGUUUGAUCAUGGCUCAGAUUGAACGCUGGCGGCAGGCCUAACACAUGCAAGUCGAGCGGAUGAAGGGAGCUUGCUCCUGGAUUCAGCGGCGGACGGGUGAGUAAUGCCUAGGAAUCUGCCUGGUAGUGGGGGAUAACGUCCGGAAACGGGCGCUAAUACCGCAUACGUCCUGAGGGAGAAAGUGGGGGAUCUUCGGACCUCACGCUAUCAGAUGAGCCUAGGUCGGAUUAGCUAGUUGGUGGGGUAAAGGCCUACCAAGGCGACGAUCCGUAACUGGUCUGAGAGGAUGAUCAGUCACACUGGAACUGAGACACGGUCCAGACUCCUACGGGAGGCAGCAGUGGGGAAUAUUGGACAAUGGGCGAAAGCCUGAUCCAGCCAUGCCGCGUGUGUGAAGAAGGUCUUCGGAUUGUAAAGCACUUUAAGUUGGGAGGAAGGGCAGUAAGUUAAUACCUUGCUGUUUUGACGUUACCAACAGAAUAAGCACCGGCUAACUUCGUGCCAGCAGCCGCGGUAAUACGAAGGGUGCAAGCGUUAAUCGGAAUUACUGGGCGUAAAGCGCGCGUAGGUGGUUCAGCAAGUUGGAUGUGAAAUCCCCGGGCUCAACCUGGGAACUGCAUCCAAAACUACUGAGCUAGAGUACGGUAGAGGGUGGUGGAAUUUCCUGUGUAGCGGUGAAAUGCGUAGAUAUAGGAAGGAACACCAGUGGCGAAGGCGACCACCUGGACUGAUACUGACACUGAGGUGCGAAAGCGUGGGGAGCAAAACAGGAUUAGAUACCCUGGUAGUCCACGCCGUAAACGAUGUCGACUAGCCGUUGGGAUCCUUGAGAUCUUAGUGGCGCAGCUAACGCGAUAAGUCGACCGCCUGGGGAGUACGGCCGCAAGGUUAAAACUCAAAUGAAUUGACGGGGGCCCGCACAAGCGGUGGAGCAUGUGGUUUAAUUCGAAGCAACGCGAAGAACCUUACCUGGCCUUGACAUGCUGAGAACUUUCCAGAGAUGGAUUGGUGCCUUCGGGAACUCAGACACAGGUGCUGCAUGGCUGUCGUCAGCUCGUGUCGUGAGAUGUUGGGUUAAGUCCCGUAACGAGCGCAACCCUUGUCCUUAGUUACCAGCACCUCGGGUGGGCACUCUAAGGAGACUGCCGGUGACAAACCGGAGGAAGGUGGGGAUGACGUCAAGUCAUCAUGGCCCCUUACGGCCAGGGCUACACACGUGCUACAAUGGUCGGUACAAAGGGUUGCCAAGCCGCGAGGUGGAGCUAAUCCCAUAAAACCGAUCGUAGUCCGGAUCGCAGUCUGCAACUCGACUGCGUGAAGUCGGAAUCGCUAGUAAUCGUGAAUCAGAAUGUCACGGUGAAUACGUUCCCGGGCCUUGUACACACCGCCCGUCACACCAUGGGAGUGGGUUGCUCCAGAAGUAGCUAGUCUAACCGCAAGGGGGACGGUUACCACGGAGUGAUUCAUGACUGGGGUGAAGUCGUAACAAGGUAGCCGUAGGGGAACCUGCGGCUG